rnacentral:rRNA from 1 species
GGGGGAGCGAAUCCCAAAAAGCCGCUCUCAGUUCGGAUUGCAGGCUGCAACUCGCCUGCAUGAAGCCGGAAUCGCUAGUAAUCGCGGAUCAGCAUGCCGCGGUGAAUACGUUCCCGGGCCUUGUACACACCGCCCGUCACACCACGAGAGCUUGCAACACCCGAAGUCGGUGAGGUAACCCGUAAGGGAGCCAGCCGCCGAAGGUGGGGCAAGUGAUUGGGGUGAAGUCGUAACAAGGUAGCCGUACCGGAAGGUGCGGCUGGAUCACCUCCUUUCUAAGGA